rnacentral:tRNA from 1 species
UGGCAAGUAGCUCAGAUCGGUAGAGCGCCUCGCUGUUAACGAGGAUGUCGCAGGUUCGAGUCCUGCCUUGCCAGCCA